AUAUUCAUCACCUAGGGAUCUUGUUAAAAAGCAGAUUCUGAUUGAGGGACAAGAUUCUGCAUUUUUAGCAAGCUCUCAAGUGAUGCUCAU
rnacentral:pre_miRNA from 1 species